CCGUCAUGAUGUUGAUGCCCAAGAAGAACUGGAUUGCCAUUUAUGCACUCCUUUUUAAAGAGGGGGUGAUGGUGGCCAAGAAGGAUGUCCACAUACCGUAUCACCCGGAGCUGGCAGACAAGAACGUGCCCAAUCUGCACGUUUUGAAAGCCAUGCAGUCUCUCAAACCACGAGGCUAUGUGAAGGAACAGUUUGCCUGGAGACACUUCUACUGGUACCUCACCAACAAGGGCAUCCUCCAACCUGUCCCCUGAGAUUGUGCCUGCCACCCUGCACCACAGCCAUCCUGAGACUGGCCAGCCACGGCCCAAAGGUCUAUAGGGAGAGCGACCUGCAAGGCUCACACAAGGGGAAGCCGACAGAAACACCUACAGACGAAACGCCGUGCCCCCUGGUGCCGACAAGAAAGCUGAGGCUGGGGCUGGGUCAGCAACUGAAUUUCAGUUUAGAGGUGAAUUUGGUCAUGGAUGUGGUCAGCCACCUCAGUAAAGUUGAAAGAG